rnacentral:rRNA from 1 species
UACAGAGGUCUCAAGCGUUGUUCGGAUUCAUUGGGCGUAAAGGGUGCGUAGGUGGUGACGCAAGUCUGGUGUGAAAUCUCGGAGCUCAACUCCGAAAUUGCACCGGAUACUGCGUGACUCGAGGACUGUAGAGGAGAUCGGAAUUCACGGUGUAGCAGUGAAAUGCGUAGAUAUCGUGAGGAGGACCAGUUGCGAAGGCGGAUCUCUGGGCAGUUCCUGACACUGAGGCACGAAGGCCAGGGGAGCAAACGGG